rnacentral:rRNA from 1 species
UACGUAGGGUCCGAGCGUUGUCCGGAAUUAUUUGGGCGUAAAGGGCUCGUAGGCGGUUCGUCGCGUCGGGAGUGAAAACACGGGGCUUAACCCCGUGCUUUGCUUCCGAUACGGGCAGACUAGAGGUAUGCAGGGGAGAACGGAAUUCCUGGUGUAGCGGUGAAAUGCGCAGAUAUCAGGAGGAACACCGGUGGCGAAGGCGGUUCUCUGGGCAUUUACCUGACGCUGAGGAGCGAAAGUGUGGGGAGCGAACAGG